GACUCUACUUGAAGAAAUAGUCUAAUCAUACUUGACCUCCAAAAAAAAUGGUUUUUAGAGGUACAAAAAAAUAGAUCCACCCCAGUUGCUGUUUUGCAUUGGUAAAAUAUGUACAAUUAAACCUCAGGUGUUUCCACAGCAUGAUAUUGAUAACUAGCAAAUUACAAAGAAAGUUGCACAAGUGGACACAUAUUUCCAUACUGAUCAUAAGCAAGCGCACGAAUGAUUGGAUUUUCAUUCAGAUUAUUGAAGCAAAUUCUUCAGCUUGAAGGGAGUAUAACCUUCUAAAGACCUAAUUAAAAAGAUCUAGUCUUUGUUAUUUUGCUUCUUUGGUGUUCUUUCCAUCUUAGUUUUGGCUUUCUAACUAUCUUCAAUGAAGGAAGCUAUUAAAAGAGAACUUUCGGCUAUUAUAGACAACAAAGAAAAUGACAUGUACUUUGUCAUUUCCAUCCUCAAUAUGAAGAAUCAAAAUGACUAAUACAUGAAAUUUAGCAACAACAUCGAAAUAAUUAAAAAAAGGACCUAGCUAGAAAUAUGAAGAAAUUUAGCAACACCAUCGAAAUAUGAAGAAAGCAGAACAAUUAAAAAAAAAGGACCAAGCAA
rnacentral:misc_RNA from 1 species